rnacentral:tRNA from 1 species
GUGGCUGUAGUUCAAUGGUAGAGCGCAAGAUUGUGGUUCUUGUUGUUGUGGGUUCGAAUCCCAUCAGCCACC